rnacentral:lncRNA from 1 species
CACAUCAUCCAAAUGAUCAUUCCCACCUUUUUAGUUGUGAGUGUUGCAUUACAAGUUCACCUGUACUACAAGUUACAUACAAGCUGAGCUGGAUUUAUUUUUGAGUCAUUCCGGUUCUAGGCUUGUCUUUUAUUUGUCCUUAAAUGAGGCCUUAAUUUGAAUGAUUUUCUUAUUUCUAUUUUUCUUUUUCUUUUUUCUUUAGAUGAUCUCUAUGAGCAUCAUGAAGACACUGGAACCUUACCUCAGCACAUUCAGCAGGACUUCCUGAAAUCCCAGUUUGGACUCCAGCGUCUCCGUCAGCAGAUGUUGGCUGCUGACAACGUGUGCUCCAUCUCAGACAAUCCAGAGAGCAGUUUGGGACAGUGGAGUGGAUCCUGUGGAUUUGAUCAGUCAACCUUCUCAAAUCAGUGAAAUAGUUUACAUGAUGAAUGAGCAAUUAUUGUACAUAUUGCACCAAGUAUUUGGCAGUUUUUUUAACUUUUUUUUCCUGACAGAAUGACGCUGGCACAUAUAUUUGCAUGAUUCAUAUUUAUUAAUUAGUUACACUGGUGCCGUGUCAGUGUGGAUUAAAUAUCACCAAACACUGGAAGUGUGAAUUAAAAUAUUGAGCCCAGUUUUUACAGACUGCUGACAUGUAUACAGGUACAGGAACACAACAUGUACAGUAUGUUCCUCAUUCCUUAGCUUAGCUUAUUUUCAUACUGUUCUGAUUGGUUGAUAUUUUG